rnacentral:lncRNA from 1 species
AAGCUAAUUCACAAGAACCUAGCCGCUGCGCCCACACCACAUCUUACCGCAUAAUUGAUUUUUUUUUUACCAAAUAACACUCACUACACACAUACACACACAAAAGCUACUUCCAUAAUCAUUACUUUUUCGAUUUUGAAGUCUUGAAAACGAAAGCUUUACAAAAGAAAACAGAAGGAUUAAAAGGUUUUACUUUAAUAAUACCUCCAGCUAAUUCUUCCUCGUCUCAAAAGUUAAUCGAGUAUUCCGGUCUAAACGAAGAGGGUCGAUUUAUCGCCGGCGCGAGGUUUUGUUUGAGGUUCCGUCGCGUUCGUGUCCCCGUUAGCAUCUUUGGUCGCUGCUCAAUUUUUCGGCCAGAUUCUCGUUUGCUUUUCGACUAAACAGAAAUGUAAAUUCAGAGUUGCAUUAAUCAGAGAUAAAUCCGCUCACUAAGGUCCAUUUUUUUUAAAACUCUUAGAUUUGAUUCUUUAUUUUGCUUCAUCUUGUACUAGUUCAUGCCAAGCUUGAAUAAAACGUGGUCACAUUAAUAUGGUCUUUGUAUGUUCUGAUUUACUCUCUGAUUUAAAAUGUUGCCAUCUUUUCAUUUUAUAUUUUGGAUAUUCUGCAUAUUUGUUAGAAAAUGCUUUAAUUGUUCAUGAUUUGGUUUCUUCUUUUUUAUUUGUUAGUUGAAAAAUGCAAAAACAAUUAGUGGUGGCAGAAGUUUAAAUAUAUAGUUUGUUGAUAGUAUAAGAGAUGGGUUUAAUUUAUUGAAAUUAUAUCGUAAUAGAGGAGCUGGAGCUUGUUACAAAAAUAUUGGGACAUGGUAUUGUUUGAGUUUAAUAAUAGUAAGAUAAGUUCGGCCAGAAGCCCAAAUAAUUUAUAGUGAUCAAAUUGUAUACUUCAUCUACAAAGUGAUAUCUAUAACUUGUAUGCCCCACAAUGCAUCUCAAAUAUUUGAGUGAACUAACAAUCGUAGCUUGCUUUAGGCACGAUAAAUAAAGUAUCGUGACUAUGGGUACGGUUCCCGUGGCAUAGUUGUGAUACGUAAAUUCCAAUUCGGGUGUGCAUUUCAUGUGACCCGACCACAACUUCAAACAACAAUAAAUUUAACAUGUUGUGAAUCGCGGGUGCGUUUCACGUGGCGCGAUUCGCAAUAUGUACUAAAACUAUAAAUCCAAAUUCGGGUGUGCAUUUCAUGUGACCCAACCAUAACUUCAAACACUAAUAAAAUAAGCAUGUCGUAAAUCGCGGGUGUAUUUUAUGUGGCGCGAUUUGCGAUGUGUGUCAAAAUAACAAGUGUACGACAUCGCGACUUGUUCAAACAAACUCCAUAAAUAAUUAAAAGCGGUCAGAAGGCUAAAAAGCACAAUAGGUUUUAAAUAUAUAAUAAGUCAGAUAAUUGGGCCAAUUAUUAAUAGUUGAGCGACCGUACUAAAACCACGGAAUCCGGGAGUGCCUCAUACCUUCUCCUGGGUUAACCAAAUUCCUUAUCCGAUUUUCUGUGUUUGCAGACCAUAAAAAUAGAGUCAAUUUCCUCGAUCUGGGAUUUUAAAAUAAACCGGUGACUUGGGACACCAUAAAUAUUCCAAGUGGCGACUCUGAAAUAAAUAAAUAAUCCCAUUUCGAUUAAUGUCACUUAAAUUGGAAAAACUCCCCUAAUCCCCUCGGGAAAAAGGAGGUGUGACAUCCGAGAGUUCGAGCGAGUCCGUUUUAUGAUUCCAAACUGGUUGGUAUGUUCGGGCGGUGCCCCGGGGGCCCCGAGUGUCAAUCGGACGAGGCUCAGGCCAAGUUAAAAAUUGGGAGCAACAGCUGAAGCUUCCAGCUGCUGUCAUAAUCGCACCUGCACUUGGCCAGCCGCAGAUGCGAGCUCGCAGAAGCGGCCAAGGAAGGGCAGCCCAGGAUCCGCAGGUGCGCCCCCAACCUUUGCAGAAGCGGGACCCCAUCCGCAGAAGCAGAGCCAGCCUGCUUGGGCACUUCCGCAGAAGCGGACUUUUGUCCGCAGAAGCGACAACGCAGGUGCGGCCCUGCGACCGCAGGUGCGAGAUCGCUGGAGGUAGUGAGGUCUCUUUUAAAACGGGACUUAAUUAUUUUGGCUCAUUUAUUUUCAUUGUUGGGCAAUUUUGGAGCUCUUAGAGAGGGGAUUUCACUUACCACGUUGAGGUGAGUAAUUUCUAUACAAUGUGUGUUAAAUACAUAGUUUAUGAGUAGAUUAUAACAUGUAAAUUAGUGAAAAUUAUGGGUUUAGGUGAAAACCUAAAUUUUUGAUAAAAAUGAGAUUUAAUCAUGAAAUUUGUUAUGGAAUCUAGUAAAAAUCAUAUAUUUGAGUUCAUGAGGUUAUGUGUAAUAACUUUCUUAAAAAAAAAAUUUCGAAAUGUGGGCACGUGGGCCCGAGGGGUAAAUUUUAGGAAUUCUGCAAAUAGGCUUAGGAAAUCACUUUGAUAGUUGGGAUAUGAACUUUUAAGCGUGUAUUAAUUAUUAUAAGUAAUAUUUGACUAGUUGCGAGUCAUUUGGCACCAAAUUGAGGGUUUGAGCACAAUCUUGGACAGGAAAGUAGGUUUUGAGACGACGUAAGUCUCUUUUCUAACCUUGUAAGAGGGAAUUAUCUCCAUAGGUGAAUUGAUUAACAUGUGCUUCUAUUUGUGGGGGCUACGUACGUACGAGGUAACGAGAGUCCGUACGUAGCUACUAAUUAUGCUAUUGUGCGGGUAGUAUAGGACCCAUAUCAUGCUAUACUUGAGAUGUUUGCACCCUUAAAUGUUAAUUUAAUUGCUUAAGUUAGAUUGGAAACUUGUGAAGGAAUCUUUAAAAGGUUAAAUUUCACUUACUUGAAGUUGUGAAUGGAACACUUGACUGUUAUAGAGAAUCUGUAUUUCUUUAAAGUAUUUUUCUUUGUGGAGCGGCCGAACGCCUCGGUAGCAGGUACAUGCAUCUAUGGUUCGAGCCGUUCGACCAUCGGCAAUGCAUAGUUUAAAUAUUUAUGUUGGAUCGGGCCGUACGACCUCGGUAUAAUUUGCGCAUGAUACAUCUUUGGAAUCAUUUAUAAUUGUUAUUGCUUCUUUGGCUUGAGAUAUAAAUUGUUAAAUGAUAAAAAUAAGAUUCGGGACUUAGUACUUGUGAAAGAAUUAUUUAUUAUUUCCUGUUAUUGAGUUAUCAGUAUUUCUCACGAAAUUCAUGCUUAUUUGUAAAUUUUGGCAUAGUAUCUUUAGCUCAUAUUAAGUGUCAAAGUCGACUCCUCGUCACUACUUCUUCGAGGUUAGACUGAAUACUUACUGGGGACAUAUUGUUUAUGUAAUCACGCUACACUUCUACACUUGAUGUGCAGGAUUUGAGGCAGGUGCAUCUGAUUAUCAGUCCGGCGUGCAUGCUUGACUUCUGGUCUGAGACCACACGGUGUGCUGCUCUUCCGAGCCAUUCAGCAACAGCCGGAGUGUCUCGUUGAUUUAUUUUCUGUCUAUUCUAUUUCAGAUAAUGGAGUAGAGAUCUUUUGUAUAUUCUACUAGUAACCCACACACUUGUAAUACCAGAUCUUGGCACACGCUAGUAGAUUUAUGAUUUUGGAUUUAUUUUUAUGAUUACGAUUUGCACUCAGUUGCUUUCAUUUAAUUAUUUU